rnacentral:tRNA from 1 species
GCGGACGUGGUGAAACCGGUAGACACGACAGACUUAAAAUCUGUUUCGCAUGCGCGAGUGCGGGUUCGAGUCCCGCCGUCCGCACCA